GAUGAACGCUAGCUGCAGGCUUAACACAUGCAAGUCGAGGGACCGGCGCACGGGUGAGUCACACGUAUCCAACCUGCCCUUUACUCGGGGAUAGCCUUUCGAAAGAAAGAUUAAUACCCGAUUUAAAGGAUGGGGAUGCGUUGCAUUAGUUUGUUGGUGAGGUAACGGCUCACCAAGCCUUCGAUGGAUAGGGGUUCUGAGAGGAAGGGACCCCACAGUGGAACUGAGACACGGUCCAAACUCCUACGGGAGGCAGGAGUGAGGAAGAUUGGUCAAUGGGCGUUAGCCUGAACCAGCCAAGUAGCGUGAAGGAUGAAGGCUUAUUGGUCGUAAACUUCUUUUAUAGAAGAAUAUGUAUUAGAUGAAUAAGGAUCGGCUAACUCCGUGCCAGCAGCCGCGGUAAUAC
rnacentral:rRNA from 1 species